GGAAAGUUAAUGAAGGUGAAGGAAGGGGAUGAAGUGGAAUGUAAAUGAUAUGAAAGUUAUUUUACCUUACUAAGGCCUUUGCAAUGAAAUGCUCCACAUUUAAAAACUCGGCAUUCCAUCUUUAACCCCUAUUUGAGGGUUAAGAAAAAUGGAUAUUUAGAAGUUAAUGAAUGUAAAUAUUUAACUUCCAUUUACACCCUAAAAUAAACUCCCAAACAAGAUUAAAGGUUAAUUUCUAUUUACAUUCCACCCUUAACCUCCUCUAACCUACUCACAUGCAUAUUGU
rnacentral:misc_RNA from 1 species